rnacentral:rRNA from 1 species
UACGGAGGAUCCAAGCGUUAUCCGGAAUUACUGGGCGUAAAGAGUUGCGUAGGUGGCAGAGUAAGUUGGUAGUGAAAGCGUUCGGCUCAACCGGAUAUACAUUACCAAAACUACUCAGCUAGAGGACGAGAGAGGUGAUUGGAAUUCCCAGUGUAGGAGUGAAAUCCGUAGAUAUUGGGAGGAACACCGAUGGCGUAGGCAGAUCACUGGCUCGUUCCUGACACUAAGGCACGAAAGCGUGGGUA